AUUGAACGCUGGCGGCAGGCCUAACACAUGCAAGUCGAACGGUAACAGGAAGCAGCUUGCUGCUUUGCUGACGAGUGGCGGACGGGUGAGUAAUGUCUGGGAAACUUCCCGAUGGAGGGGGAUAACUACUGGAAGCGGUAGCUAAUACCGCAUAACGUCGCAAGACCAAAGAGGGGGACCUUAGGGCCUCUUGCCAUCGGAUGUGCCCAGAUGGGAUUAGCUAGUAGGUGGGGUAACGGCUCACCUAGGCGACGAUCCCUAGCUGGUCUGAGAGGAUGACCAGCCACACUGGAACUGAGACACGGUCCAGACUCCUACGGGAGGCAGCAGUGGGGAAUAUUGCACAAUGGGCGCAAGCCUGAUGCAGCCAUGCCGCGUGUAUGAAGAAGGCCUUCGGGUUGUAAAGUACUUUCAGCGGGGAGGAAGGGAGUAAAGUUAAUACCUUUGCUCAUUGACGUUACCCGCAGAAGAAGCACCGGCUAACUCCGUG
rnacentral:rRNA from 1 species